rnacentral:tRNA from 4 species
GGAGGGGUACCCAAGUGGCUUAAGGGGACGGUUUGCUAAAUCGUUAGUCUGGAGAGAUCUGGAGCGGGAGUUCGAAUCUCCCCUCCUCCGCCA